GACGAACGCUGGCGGCGUGCUUAACACAUGCAAGUCGAACGGAAAGGCCCUGCUUUUGUGGGGUGCUCGAGUGGCGAACGGGUGAGUAACACGUGAGUAACCUGCCCUUGACUUUGGGAUAACUUCAGGAAACUGGGGCUAAUACCGGAUAGGAGCUCCUGCUGCAUGGUGGGGGUUGGAAAGUUUCGGCGGUUGGGGAUGGACUCGCGGCUUAUCAGCUUGUUGGUGGGGUAGUGGCUUACCAAGGCUUUGACGGGUAGCCGGCCUGAGAGGGUGACCGGCCACAUUGGGACUGAGAUACGGCCCGGACUCAUACGGGAGGAAGCAGUGGGGAAUAUUGCACAAUGGGCGGAAGCCUGAUGCAGCAACGCCGCGUGCGGGAUGACGGCCUUCGGGUUGUAAACCGCUUUCGCCUGUGACGAAGCGUGAGUGACGGUAAUGGGUAAAGAAGCACCGGCUAACUACGUG
rnacentral:rRNA from 1 species